rnacentral:sRNA from 1 species
UGUAUCUGAAGCCUGACGAGGAUGAGAACCUCCGGGGCAAGAGGUUCGACCCGAGCGAAGCGAGAGAACGUUGCGUCAGCAACGGCCCGCAGGGCGAGCCAUCCUCUAUCACCGGCAG